ACACGGAAUCAUAAACACCAAUUUCUCUCAAAAUCAUCAUCAUGCUAUUUUUCACCAAAACCCACAAUUUUUCUCAAUUUUCAUUCAAACUACAUAAACAAUCACAACAAUUCAAAGCCCAUCAACAUAACAACAUGUAUAAAAAUAUAUGAAGUGAAUUCAAACAUGUUUCAACAACAAUUUUCACUUGGAUUAUUGUAUUUAUUUAUUAUAUGUGUUUAAUUGCUUGUUAGUGUGUUUAAUUUGGGAUUAGUGGAUUUUUAGUCGAGAAUGGUAUUUUGGUCAUUUUUAAGACUAAGUGUAUUUUGGUCAUUUGACGAGUACGGGUAAAUUAGUAAUUUUAACAGGAAGAUUAUUUUUAGUGUUUUAGUGAGAAUAGUUAUUUUUACUAAGUUAGUCGUAGCUAGUGGUAAUUAUUUUGAGAUGGUAAUUAAAGAGAUGUUUAAUGAGUUAAGUGUGUAGUAAAUUUUUAGAAUUAAGUGGUAAGAGUUUUGAGGCCCAUUAUUAAUCGUAGUAACCUAGCCCAUGAUUGGAGUAAAAUAGAUAGCUCAUGAGAGGAAAUCAGUUUUAGCUCAUUCCACACUUUCAUAAUAGAGAGGCUAGAGAGAAUUGAGAGAGAAGAAAAGUGAAGAGGCUAGGAUUCUUUGGAGAGAGUGAAGAUUCUUAAUGAUUAGCUUAGUUUUUGAGGAGCCAAGGUAAGGGGGAUAUGUUUGUUCUACUAAAUAAGCUAUAAUAUAAUUUUUCACUUAUGGGUCAUAAUUGUUUUUGAAUGAAUUAUGAUUUUGAUGAUUUUGGAUGUUAAUUUUUUUGCUCAUAAUUAGAUGAUGAUUUUGGGUAUGUGAAAUUUGUGGAAAACUUGUUGAUCCUUUAUUUUCAUUGUUGAUAUAUCUUGAAGUGAAUACUUUGAGAAUUUGGCUUAAAAUGAUGAAAAUAAUGUUCUUGUGGUUGAUUGAUGAUGAAUUCAUGGUUAUAUGCUAUGAAUGUUGUUGGUUAUAUGUUGGUAAUGAUAAUUCAUGAAUUGGGUGAUCAUAAAAGUGAUGUUGUGAUUAAGUUUUUGUGUUUUCAUGACUUUU
rnacentral:lncRNA from 1 species